rnacentral:rRNA from 1 species
GAUGAACGCUGGCGGCGUGCCUAAUACAUGCAAGUCGAGCGAACGGACGAGAAGCUUGCUUCUCUGAUGUUAGCGGCGGACGGGUGAGUAACACGUGGAUAACCUACCUAUAAGACUGGGAUAACUUCGGGAAACCGGAGCUAAUACCGGAUAAUAUUUUGAACCGCAUGGUUCAAAAGUGAAAGACGGUCUUGCUGUCACUUAUAGAUGGAUCCGCGCUGCAUUAGCUAGUUGGUAAGGUAACGGCUUACCAAGGCAACGAUGCAUAGCCGACCUGAGAGGGUGAUCGGCCACACUGGAACUGAGACACGGUCCAGACUCCUACGGGAGGCAGCAGUAGGGAAUCUUCCGCAAUGGGCGAAAGCCUGACGGAGCAACGCCGCGUGAGUGAUGAAGGUCUUCGGAUCGUAAAACUCUGUUAUUAGGGAAGAACAUAUGUGUAAGUAACUGUGCACAUCUUGACGGUACCUAAUCAGAAAGCCACGGCUAACUACGUGCCAGCAGCCGCGGUAAUACGCAGGUGGCAAGCGUUAUCCGGAAUUAUUGGGCGUAAAGCGUGCGUAGGCGGUUUUUUAAGUCUGAUGUGAAAGCCCACGGCUCAACCGUGGAGGGUCAUUGGAAACUGGAAAACUUGAGUGCAGAAGAGGAAAGUGGAAUUCCAUGUGUAGCGGUGAAAUGCGCAGAGAUAUGGAGGAACACCAGUGGCGAAGGCGACUUUCUGGUCUGUAACUGACGCUGAUGUGCGAAAGCGUGGGGAUCAAACAGGAUUAGAUACCCUGGUAGUCCACGCCGUAAACGAUGAGUGCUAAGUGUUAGGGGGUUUCCGCCCCUUAGUGCUGCAGCUAACGCAUUAAGCACUCCGCCUGGGGAGUACGACCGCAAGGUUGAAACUCAAAGGAAUUGACGGGGACCCGCACAAGCGGUGGAGCAUGUGGUUUAAUUCGAAGCAACGCGAAGAACCUUACCAAAUCUUGACAUCCUUUGACAACUCUAGAGAUAGAGCCUUCCCCUUCGGGGGACAAGGUGACAGGUGGUGCAUGGUUGUCGUCAGCUCGUGUCGUGAGAUGUUGGGUUAAGUCCCGCAACGAGCGCAACCCUUAAGCUUAGUUGCCAUCAUUAAGUUGGGCACUCUAAGUUGACUGCCGGUGACAAACCGGAGGAAGGUGGGGAUGACGUCAAAUCAUCAUGCCCCUUAUGAUUUGGGCUACACACGUGCUACAAUGGACAAUACAAAGGGCAGCGAAACCGCGAGGUCAAGCAAAUCCCAUAAAGUUGUUCUCAGUUCGGAUUGUAGUCUGCAACUCGACUACAUGAAGCUGGAAUCGCUAGUAAUCGUAGAUCAGCAUGCUACGGUGAAUACGUUCCCGGGUCU